CAUGCGAGUCGAUGUAGCAANNCAUGGCGACUGCUCAGUACACGUGGACACUUACCCUCAGAUNUUGGAUAANCUUGGAAACUGAGUAUUAUUACCGGAUUAGUUCUUGGAUGCUGGAAUGCACCGAGGCCCAAAGCUCCGGCGUCUGAGGAUGGGUCUGCGGCCUAUCAGGGUAGUAGUGGGUGUAAAGUACCUACUAGCCUACGACGGGUACGGGUCGUGAGAGCGAGAGCCCGGAGAUGGAUUCUGAGACACGAAUCCAGGCCCUACGGGGUGCAGCAGGCGCGAAAACUUUACAAUGCCGGCAACGGCGAUAAGGGGACCUCGAGUGCCAGGAUACAAUCCUGGCUGUCGUAAUGCCUAAAAAGCAUUAUAUAGCAAGGGCCGGGCAAGACCGGUGCCAGCCGCCGCGGUAACACCGGCGGCUCGAGUGGUAACCGCUAUUAUUGGGUCUAAAGGGUCUGUAGCCGGCCUGGUAAGUCUUUUGGGAAAUCCGGCAGCUCAACUGUCGGGCUAUCAGAGGAUACUGCUAGGCUCGAGACCGGGAGAGGUGAGAGGUACUUCAUGGGUAGGGGUGAAAUCUUGUAAUCCUUGAAGGACCACCAGUGGCGAAGGCGUCUCACCAGAACGGAUCUGACGGCAAGGGACGAAAGCUAGGGGCACGAACCGGAUUAGAUACCCGGGUAGUCCUAGCCGUAAACGAUACUCGCUAGGUGUCGGCCACGGUGCGACCGUGGUCGGUGCCGUAGGGAAGCCGUGAAGCGAGCCACCUGGGAAGUACGGCCGCAAGGCUGAAACUUAAAGGAAUUGGCGGGGGAGCACUACAACGGGUGGAGCCUGCGGUUUAAUUGGAUUCAACGCCGGA
rnacentral:rRNA from 1 species